CAGUUCAGCAGAGAAUGACCACAUUGUCUUUACUGAGCUCUUGGAAUUGAUGGCCCAUUCUGCCGCUGAAUGACUCUUCUAUGUAGCUUUUGGAGCUUCCCUUUCCUAAGAAUUUUCAUGGGAAGGUUUUGUUGUCCACUUGAGGACAGAAGAAUUAAAGAUGGGAAAUGAUGGCCUGUGUUUCCAUUGUUUACUCUACAUCCCUUUGGAGAAAGCCUGAUUUAAAGGUCUGAGGACUGAAUAAUUGCUGGAAGGUUCCAUUUAUAAAUGGCAUAGGUAUCUCUGUACGAAAGGGUGAGCUUCUGUCUCCUUUAAUGAACAAUCAGGAACUACUGCAAAAGAGUCAGGGAAAGACAAACUCUUGAACAUUUUAUUCAGCCUAGAUACUGAUCCUGCAAGGUGCUGAGCACCCUCCACUUCCAUUGCCUCCAUUAGGACUCAUGAGACCUCAGCACUUCCCAGGAGACCAUCAGCACCUCAGAAUCAGGUCCCAAAUGCAGUAGUAAAAUUAACUGUCAAUUUUCUUAUGCUUAGCAUGUGGAGUCUUCAUAGAGCCGUAGUAUCUCACCAUUGCUGCUGAGCUUAAAUCCUAUAUUAUCAAACCACUGCACAGAAGGUGCAUGAUCAAUUCCUGCUAAGCUCUUUGGUGGUCUUAGGUUUCCCAGGUGCUUGCCAGAAUACAGCCUGCUCUGUGGACAGUGACACCUGACUGUGAACUCUGCGCACUCCUCUGCUUUGCUGCUCAGGUGUUUCUUUUGUCACACAAACCGGUAAUUGUCUGCAGGUGUGCUGAACUGUUGGUUGGUAUAUAGUUCCAAUGCAUGCUUCAGUAAAACAGGAAAGACUUAAUCCAGAGAGAUUUAGCCUGCAGUGUUAUACAGGCUUCCCAUUUAAAGUCAUCAUUGCCUGGCAUACAGAAUAAAAUCCUUUCAACCUGGGAUGAAGGACCAUGCCAUUUUAACAGAUGGCUGUAAGUGUUAGC